AUUGAACGCUGGCGGCAGGCCUAACACAUGCAAGUCGAGCGGAUGAGAGGAGCUUGCUUCUCGAUUCAGCGGCGGACGGGUGAGUAAUGCCUAGGAAUCUGCCUGGUAGUGGGGGACAACGUUUCGAAAGGAACGCUAAUACCGCAUACGUCCUACGGGAGAAAGCAGGGGCCCUUCGGGCCUUGCGCUAUCAGCUGAGCCUAGGUCGGAUUAGCUAGUUGGUGAGGUAAUGGCUCACCAAGGCGACGAUCCGUAACUGGUCUGAGAGGAUGAUCAGUCACACUGGAACUGAGACACGGUCCAGACUCCUACGGGAGGCAGCAGUGGGGAAUAUUGGACAAUGGGCGAAAGCCUGAUCCAGCCAUGCCGCGUGUGUGAAGAAGGUCUUCGGAUUGUAAAGCACUUUAAGUUGGGAGGAAGGGUUGUAGAUUAAUACUCUGCAAUUUUGACGUUACCGACAGAAUAAGCACCGGCUAACUCUGUGCCAGCAGCCGCAGUAAUAC
rnacentral:rRNA from 1 species